rnacentral:rRNA from 1 species
AUGGAAGGCCUCUUGCAUUGGGACUUUGCCCCUGGCUUAGCCCUGGCGGAUCAGGUGAGAAGAAAGUUUGGUUCCACGGUGCAUUUCUCCCCCUCUCGAGACACCAAGGAGUUCUUUCUUGUGGUUACAUUUUCGUCGGCCUCCUUCCCACUCACAGAAGAAUCUAUGGGUCUUGCUCUCCAAUGUUGCAUUGGGGGUUUUAGCGUGGGCUUCAUAGUGCAUAAGAUUAAUCCCCGAGCUUUUCGUUUCUCGGUGGCCAACAACAAGGUGGGAAAUUUCAUCUACGGCCUCAAGGAGCGCAUUUGGCCAGAUUUCAUUUGCCACUUUCAUCUGUUCAAUGGCCGUUUCAAUCGUGUUCCCUCGUCUACUUUAAGUUGGCAUGCAGAUGAAGUCUUACCGGAGUUAACUGCUCGACAUCCUUUGGCUUUUAAAUCAAAUUUGGGUUUUCUGAAAUUGGGUUCUUUGGUAUCUGCCUCUUCUAUGAUCGAGCUAAGCAAAUUUGCUUUGAAGCCUAUUGAUCAUAUGGUUUUUUCCAAUUCUCAUGCUCAUGAGGCUUCGUCAUCCUCUGCUCCAUAA